UACGAAGGGUGCAAACGUUGCUCGGAAUCAUUGGGCGUAAAGCGCACGUAGGCGGCCUUGUAAGUCGGACGUGAAAUCCCACGGCUCAACCGUGGAAGUGCAUCCGAAACUGCGAGGCUCGAGUAUGGAAGAGGGUCGCAGAAUUCCCGGUGUAGAGGUGAAAUUCGUAGAUAUCGGGAGGAAUACCAGUGGCGAAGGCGGCGACCUGGGCCAAUACUGACGCUGAGGUGCGAAAGCGUGGGGAGCAAACAGG
rnacentral:rRNA from 1 species